ACCAUUUCCAGCCAGUUCUACAUUUUGCAC
rnacentral:piRNA from 1 species